GUCACUUUAGCUUAGUGGCAGAGCGUCUGCUUUGUAAGCAGAAGGUCGUCA
rfam:Perkinsus marinus ATCC 50983 gcontig_1104296164168, whole genome shotgun sequence.